rnacentral:lncRNA from 12 species
UUACAGUACAACACUAAUUUACAUCACCUUUUUACAGUUCUUAAAAUGUCAAUUAGAGUAAAUAAAAAUUUUGAUACCAGUCUCACCAACUCCGGUGAAGUGAUGUACCAAACAUAUGAAAGCACUAUUAAAUCAGCAGUGAGUAUUUCAUAUUUCAUUUAUAAAUUAUAAAUGUUGUUUAUGCUUAAUUAAAAAAAAAGAUAAAAAUUUGAACAACUGAACUCUUGACCUCUAGAGAACAAAUAAAUUCAUGUACUUUUUUAACUUUCAAAAUGUCAUACAGAUAUAUUUUGUUAACUGACAGUAAAGCAGCCUAAAGAGAAAUUCAGUGUGCUCAGAUCUAGCCUAAAUGCAUCUGGUUCUUAUAGUACAAUUUUGUUGUGAGUGAGUUCAUACUUCCAGUUUUAUAAAGAGUCUUACUGUAUAUACUUAUGUACAUUGGUUACUUCUACGUUUUACAGAUUGAAGACAGUUACAAAUCUCUGUCUGUCUACAUUAAAAAUUCUGUAAAAAUCACAGAUUUCAGGUAAAGUCUACAAUAUAAACUUUCCCUUAAAAUGUGCAAAAUGAAUGGCUUAAACAUUGUUUAUUUUUUUAUCUUGUGUUAAAAUGCUUUGUUCUCAUUGUUCUGGUUUGUGUGUUGCUCCAUAGGCCUGGUAGCAUUAUAGCAGACUAUCAAAUCAGUGUAACAACCAACAUCCACAGUAGCACAAAUGGCGGCAACAGCAACGAUUUUGCAUCAGCAAAUUUACAGGUUUCAAGAACUCUCCUGAAUGCGGGAAUCCCUGUAGCUCUGAAGGCUUUUUCUGAAAGUGAAAAUACUACCCUGUCCACCGCAAAAAAAUGGUAUCCUUUUCAAAAGAUGGAGCUGAGAUGUAAAUACCCAGAGUCUGUUAAUGGUACAAUGAGAUGGACAGUGAAUGACCAAGAUCCUACAGACACUGUUAGAUACUCCAUUUCACCUGACCAUAGUAUUUUCAUUGUAAACAACGCAACAGAGAAAGACACUGGUGAGUCAAACCAAAGACUAGAAAUACAAAAAUGGUUCACUCCUAUACUUAUAAAUGUGAAAAGUGCAAUGUGCAAUAUGCCGGAAUAG